GUACCUCCCAGCUUCUCAGUCUGUCAUCAUCAGAUUGCUUAGAAAUCCUCCAACUGUCCUGGAACUGUCAAGGAAUUCUGCUUUUUAAAACAUUGUCAAAAUAUUAGAAGUGUCAAAUGAGGAAAAUGGAGAGAAGCCAAGUCCUUCCAUUUUCCAGACACUGAGCUAAGCCUGAGCCUCUGCUUUUCUAAUUGUUGGCCCAUUCGGCGUUUAGUUGGGCUCCUCCUUAAGCUGAAGGCAUCUUUAACCCCCAGGAUCCCAUCUUAAGUGCAGUGGCUAGUGCACACACCUGUGGUUCAACCUGCACAAAGUUCCAGGGACCUCAGUCUGUAGGGCAGACACUCCUGGACUCAGAAGACAAAUGCUGCUCUUACGGGUUGGGUUGCAGGCGCUCACCAGGUAAUGUGUUUAUUGACCUUCUCUCGGGAUUAUUGUCUUGUCCUUAAAUCAUCUGAUAAAAACUACAAUCAAAUCGUUACACUUGUGCACAUGUAUUAAAAUGUUGUACUGGCCAGGCAGUGGUGGCACACGCCUUUAAUCCCAGCACUCCAGAGGCAGAGACAGGCGGGUCUCUGUGAGUUCAAGACCAGCCUGGUCUACAAGAGCUAGUUCCAGGACAGCCUCCAAAGCCACAGAGAAACCCUGUCUCAAAAAAAAAAAAAAAAAAAAAAAAAUUGGGUGGCUGCAGAGGUGGCUCAGUAGCUGAGAGCACUGGCUGGCUGACUGUUCUUCCAGAGGUCCUAGGUUCAAUUCCCAGCACCUACAUGGCAGCUCAUAACUGUAACUCCUGUUCCAAGGGAUCCAAAGCCCUCAUACAGACAUACAUGUACGCAAAACACUGUUAUACAUAAAAUAAAAAUGAAUUAUCAAAAAAUUAACCUGGAACCUAGCUCAAAAUAGAUUCUAAACCAUAAAUACAAAUAUGACAUCUAAAACUAAAGUCCUGACUAGAAAACUAAUCCCUUGGAACCUCCUAAAGUAGAUUACAGGAUUAAAGAGUAAUUUUUGCAAUAGCCAAAGAAGGUGGCCUCCAGGUUAUUCACCAGCCAGCCCCCGUUUUUGUGUUUUGUUUUUUGUUUUUUUGCGUAUUGAUGUCUUUGAUGUCCUUUCUCCUGUGUUGACCUGUCUUAUAAAAGCCAAUAUGGCUACUUAGUGACCAAAAAAAAAAAAAAAAAAAAAAAAAAGCCGAAUACCAAGAUCUGGUGGUCACCCACGCAUCCGAGCAUCUCCGUUGGCUUUAUAAUCUCCCAUCAGCCGUACCGUCUGCCUGGCGCUUUUUAAACGUACGAGUAUUUCUUAAUCAUCUGUACAGCUUGUCCACAAUCCGGGCUGCUGCAGUGUGAGCCCAAGCUCAAAAUACGAUGAGGCUCAACUUUACAAAGCCUUUCUCGGCUUCAUCCCCAUGUAGCAGAGAGCAGGGAAGCCCUGGCAUACUUUCUGUGCUCUGGCGCCAAGACAUCACCUGAGCGACACAACCAAGCUCUUCUCUAAGCUAACGUUACCUCCGAGAAAGGUGAUGUCGGGUGCACCGUGAACCUGAAUUUCUGCUCCUUUCCGGUUUCGAGUCAAAGCUUCACCAGUCCGGUCCUGCGGGCUUGGUUUGGCUGCUGCAGUAACGCAAGGAUUCCACUGGGAGGAGGCAGAGCACCAAUGAUGGUAUCGCAAGCUUGCCUCCUUCGACUUAAUUCUAAAUUAGAAUCUUGAAGGUUUUGCGCAGCUUGUAAAGUGAAUUCGUAAUUGAAACUCACUGUUGAGUAUUACAGACAAUCAAUGAGAGGAACAUGCAGAUUUUUUAUUGUACCCUAGAUUUUAGCAUUAAUUUUAACGAAUAAAUUCCACUUGGAACGUGGGGAAGAUUUCCUAAUACAGGAUAGAAGAUUUUUUGAUAUAAAGAAAUUCAGGCCAGCCUGGUUUACAGAGCAAGUUCCAGAACAGCCAGGAUGACAGAGAGAAACCCUGUCUCAAAAAGAAAGGAAGGAAGGAAGGAAGAAGGAAGAAACUCUAGAAGUAAACAGUAUACAAUAAUCUUAAAGCAUCUCUUUACAUAUCCUAGGUACCCUCCCGGAGUGUUUCCAUUGAGCUAUGGACAUUAAGGUGUGAUUUGGGUCGUGAUGUCUGAGUAGAGCCUCGAAGAAGAUGAACUCUUACUCGGUGGCAUCUGGUAGUGGUGGGGAGAGCGCGCAGAGGCCAGCACCAUUGCUAAAAUCAAUGCCAGGUAACCGGGGCAUCAAUUAACUCCAUCCGAAGACUGUAGAUGCUCUCCAUCACAGGACAUUUGUGGCAUUUCCAAAAACAUGUUGGAGAACGAAUUGUAUUUCUUCAGAUUUUGAUCCUCAUGAUUGAUUGAUGGGCCUGGC
rnacentral:lncRNA from 1 species